GUUAAACAGUCCCAUGUAAGUAAGUGCUUUUGGGGGCUAAAAUAGGAAGUACAUACUUCCUAUUUCAUAGGCAAUUACACAGGCUUUCCCUGAAAGGGCGUGGUCUGCUGCUUUGAAAUGGGUAUUUGAGAUGCAUAGAAGAUAUUGCAGUUAUUUUGAAGACUUACUUGCCAAGAAAAUCCUGUGGUUGGUUAAUACCUUCUGUCUCCAGUUUUAAGGAAGUGGGGUUUUGCUGGUUUCUGCAUCAGAGGAUUCUGAUGCUGUCGGGGGAGGCUGGACAGGGAGAGUCACCCGUCAGGUCGCAUCAUCUGCCUCGCAGACAGCUCUGGAUCCAGAAAACAAGAAGCUCCAUAAUAAGUCAAGUAAGAGAAUAGCCACUGGGAAAUGAAAACAAUUGUCCUCUGAAGUAGGAUCAAACUUCUGCACAAAGGACAGUAUGAUCAUGAAAGAGAUUUUCAUCCUUCUGCUGAAUCUGAAUCUGGUCUUCAGUGUCCAAGCCAUUCGAGAGAGUAUCCCUAUGAAGAGCUUGAGCUGUUACAACGACUACAACUCACAGGUGACCUGCACAUGGGUGGAGCAUUCAGAGGCUCAUGCCCUCGUUGGUAUGAUUCUUUACCAAAGGGAUAAUAGUAUAAAGUAAGUACCUGAAACGUGCUAGUGGAUUUAUUUUACACUUUUACCUUUACAAAUUAUUUUCCCGUAAUUUUGUUGUGGGAUCAUAGAUAUGAAGUAAAUAUCAUAGAUAUGAAAUAAAAUUGGGCAUAUUGGUUGCUCUUGGAGUAAG
rnacentral:lncRNA from 1 species